CGCGAUUCGCCCUUCGGGGUGCAGCAGGCGCGAAAACUUUACAAUGCGGGAAACCGUGAUAAGGGGACACCGAGUGCCAGCAUCAUAUGCUGGCUGUCCAGGUGUGUAAAAUACACCUGUCAGCAAGGGCCGGGCAAGACCGGUGCCAGCCGCCGCGGUAACACCGGCGGCCCGAGUGGUGAUCGUGAUUAUUGGGUCUAAAGGGUCCGUAGCCGGUUUGGUCAGUCCUCCGGGAAAUCUGACGGCUCAACCGUUAGGCUUUCGGGGGAUACUGCCAGGCUUGGAACCGGGAGAGGUAAGAGGUACUACAGGGGUAGGAGUGAAAUCUUGUAAUCCCUGUGAGACCACCUGUGGCGAAGGCGUCUUACCAGAACGGGUUCGACGGUGAGGGACGAAAGCUGGGGGCACGAACCGGAUUAGAUACCCGGGUAGUCCCAGCCGUAAACGAUGCUCGCUAGGUGUCAGGCAUGGCGCGACCGUGUCUGGUGCCGCAGGGAAGCCGUGAAGCGAGCCACCUGGGAAGUACGGCCGCAAGGCUGAAACUUAAAGGAAUUGGCGGGGGAGCAC
rnacentral:rRNA from 1 species